UUCAGAGAAAUAAUCAAGUCACUAUUGGAAAAAGAAAGACCAAAACAAAUUUUGUAGAAGCUCAGACAUUUUGGCACCUUUACAGAAGUUUUGAUAGAAUGUGGAUAUUUUUUAUAAUGGCUUUUCAGGCUAUGCUAAUUAUUGCAUGGAACUUCAGAUCUCUUCUUGGCUUUUUUUAUGAAGAUAUACUCAGACAGGUGUUGACUAUUUUUAUUACUGCUGAUUUUCUCAAUUUCUGCAAGCUACUCUGGACAUAAUUCUUAGUUUCAGUGCCUGGAGAAGCUUGAAAUUUUCCCAAAUAAUCUGGUACCUUUUGAAAUUUGUCGUUCCAGCUUUUUGGGUAGUGGUUUUGCCAAUUGGUU